rnacentral:rRNA from 1 species
CGCACGGGUGCGUAACGCGUGGGAAUCUGCCCCUGGGUUCGGAAUAACAGCGAGAAAUUGCUGCUAAUACCGGAUGAUGACGAAAGUCCAAAGAUUUAUCGCCCAGGGAUGAGCCCGCGUAGGAUUAGCUAGUUGGUGAGGUAAGAGCUCACCAAGGCGACGAUCCUUAGCUGGUCUGAGAGGAUGAUCAGCCACACUGGGACUGAGACACGGCCCAGACUCCUACGGGAGGCAGCAGCC